rnacentral:rRNA from 1 species
GAUGAACGCUAGCUACAGGCUUAACACAUGCAAGUCGAGGGGCAGCACAGUGUAGCAAUACAUGGGUGGCGACCGGCGCACGGGUGCGUAACGCGUAUCCAACCUUCCCGAUACUCUUGGAUAGCCUUCCGAAAGGGAGAUUAAUACAAGAUGGUGUUUCAAUUCCGCAUGUUAUUGAAACUAAAGAUUUAUCGGUAUCGGAUGGGGAUGCGUGACAUUAGAUAGUAGGCGGGGUAACGGCCCACCUAGUCUACGAUGUCUAGGGGUUCUGAGAGGAAGGUCCCCCACACUGGAACUGAGACACGGUCCAGACUCCUACGGGAGGCAGCAGUGAGGAAUAUUGGUCAAUGGUCGGAAGACUGAACCAGCCAAGUAGCGUGAAGGAUGAAGGUUCUAUGGAUUGUAAACUUCUUUUAUACGGGAAUAAAACCUCCCACGUGUGGGAGCUUGUAUGUACCGUAUGAAUAAGCAUCGGCUAACUCCGUGCCAGCCGCCGCGGUAAGAC